rnacentral:rRNA from 1 species
GACGAACGCUGGCGGCGUGCUUAACACAUGCAAGUCGAACGGAAAGGCCCUGCUUUUGUGGGAUGCUCGAGUGGCGAACGGGUGAGUAACACGUGAGUAACCUGCCCUUGACUUUGGGAUAACUUCAGGAAACUGGGGCUAAUACCGGAUAGGAGCUCCUGCUGCAUGGUGGGGGUUGGAAAGUUUCGGCGGUUGGGGAUGGACUCGCGGCUUAUCAGCUUGUUGGUGGGGUAGUGGCUUACCAAGGCUUUGACGGGUAGCCGGCCUGAGAGGGUGACCGGCCACAUUGGGACUGAGAUACGGCCCAGACUCCUACGGGAGGCAGCAGUGGGGAAUAUUGCACAAUGGGCGGAAGCCUGAUGCAGCAACGCCGCGUGCGGGAUGACGGCCUUCGGGUUGUAAACCGCUUUCGCCUGUGACGAAGCGUGAGUGACGGUAAUGGGUAAAGAAGCACCGGCUAACUACGUGCCAGCAGCCGCGGUGAUACGUAGGGUGCGAGCGUUGUCCGGAUUUAUUGGGCGUAAAGGGCUCGUAGGUGGUUGAUCGCGUCGGAAGUGUAAUCUUGGGGCUUAACCCUGAGCGUGCUUUCGAUACGGGUUGACUUGAGGAAGGUAGGGGAGAAUGGAAUUCCUGGUGGAGCGGUGGAAUGCGCGGAUAUCAGGAGGAACACCAGUGGCGAAGGCGGUUCUCUGGGCCUUUCCUGACGCUGAGGAGCGAAAGCGUGGGGAGCGAACAGGCUUAGAUACCCUGGUAGUCCACGCUGUAAACGGUGGGUACUAGGUGUGGGGUCCAUUCCACGGGUUCCGUGCCGUAGCUAACGCUUUAAGUACCCCGCCUGGGGAGUACGGCCGCAAGGCUAAAACUCAAAGGAAUUGACGGGGCCCCGCACAAGCGGCGGAGCAUGCGGAUUAAUUCGAUGCAACGCGUAGAACCUUACCUGGGUUUGACAUGGAUCGGGAGUGCUCAGAGAUGGGUGUGCCUCUUUUGGGGUCGGUUCACAGGUGGUGCAUGGCUGUCGUCAGCUCGUGUCGUGAGAUGUUGGGUUAAGUCCCGCAACGAGCGCAACCCUUGUUCACUGUUGCCAGCACGUUAUGGUGGGGACUCAGUGGAGACCGCCGGGGUCAACUCGGAGGAAGGUGGGGAUGACGUCAAGUCAUCAUGCCCCUUAUGUCCAGGGCUUCACGCAUGCUACAAUGGCUGGUACAGAGAGUGGCGAGCCUGUGAGGGUGAGCGAAUCUCGGAAAGCCGGUCUCAGUUCGGAUUGGGGUCUGCAACUCGACCUCAUGAAGUCGGAGUCGCUAGUAAUCGCAGAUCAGCAACGCUGCGGUGAAUACGCCCCCGGGGCUUGUACACACCGCCCGUCAAGUCAUGAAAGUUGGUAACACCCGAAGCCGGUGGCCUAACCGUUGUGGGGGAGCCGUCGAAGGUGGGACUGGUGAUUAGGACUAAGUCGUAACAAGGUAGCCGUACCGGAAGG